GCCUCGAUGACGCAGUAGGCAGCGCGUGAGUCUCAUAAUCUCAAGGUCGUGAGUUCGAUCCUCACUCAGGACA
rfam:Ciona savignyi cont_26227, whole genome shotgun sequence.